rnacentral:lncRNA from 1 species
GAGAAUACAUCCAUUUGUGUAAGAACUUGAGUUGUGUAAAAAUGACUGGUGCCCAACUCCUUCACUGGGUGGUCGAAUAUAACGAGUGGAAAGGACAUAUGCCAGAGGCUUUUCAGUGCUAUGUGACCGGACCAUGUGUCAUGUACAUCAGCAGCUGUGAAAUCUGUGGUUUCAAAGAAGUCCCAAACUUCCUGCGCCCAGUGAAGUCCCUGCUUGUUACCUGAAAGAGAGUGUGCCUAAAGUGAUACACAGCCUGAGAAAUAGCCAACUAACAGAUCAAAGUCCUUCAGCAGAAAAGUUACUGUUCCUGAUGUCCUGUUGUAUCAUUUCUCCUUAUAAGAGUGCUUGUAAUUCUCUUGCUAAAAUGGUAGCUGGGAUAAAAGCCAGGGACAUCGCCCUAGGCUAUGUUUUCAAUAUAAUUUGAAAGGGGGAAGAAAUGGGGAUCAUAAUUAGAAAAAGUAAUGUUGUGAACUUUUGUGUGAGGUCUUGUUGAAAGUGUUGUUUUGAAAGUAGGGUGGUAGUCAAAUUCUAUGAGAGGAUCAGUCAAUAAAAGAAAAUCUUUAAAUCA